GCCAGUGUGGCAUACUGGUUUGAGUAUUGGAUUACAAAUCUGGAGGCCGGGGUUCAAUACCGAGCUCUGCCA